UGAUAAUCAUAAUAAUUAAAUUUGGUCACUUGUCCAUUGGUCAAAGAAAUGUCUUUACUUUUGUGAGGCUCUUGUCCCCAAUCUGAGAUGGUCAAAACUUUGAUUAUCCUCACUUUACAGUAUCUUAUUUUGUUUUCGAAAUGAGGAUCAAAGUUAUUAUGCAUAAUUAUAGAAUUGGUCUUAACAAGUAUUGAUUCAUAAAAAGAUUGGUUUUUGGAGAAAUUAUCAGGAAUAUAAAAAUGAGUUUUUGGGAAAAUAGAAUUGCAGAGUUGAUAGACAUUGAGAUUGGGAUUUUGUG
rnacentral:lncRNA from 1 species